UUGAACUGGCAACGAUCCUCCUGCCUCAGCCUCCCGAGUGCUGGGAUUACAGGCGUGCGCCACCAUGCCUGGCACCCCCACCUUUUGAAGCAUCAGCAGAUGAUCUAUAGUUGGCAUUUCUGCCGCAGUGUAGCUAGGAUCUUCUGUCACUCUGGUGCUCUCAGUUCUUCGUUGUGUGCCCUUAGCCCGUUUGCAAGUUUAGGAAUAAAAGGUCAUCAUCUGCUCCCUGUGGGGAGCUUCACUUCAUCUAGUUGUGUUUUACAAAUUUUACACUUGAGCCAGGUCUGACCCCCAAAUCUUCCUGCUUAAGCACCUUGAUAUCACAGGGAUGACUGGCAGAAACUUUAGGGCCCUUACAUUUGUCCUCUUGGCCCUAGAUGAGCUCACAAACACCUGCCUUUCCAUUUUUUUCUCUCCAUCCUCAGUAGCAGGAACCAUUACUAAGGCUGAACUAUCCUGGGAUGGAAGCUGUGGGCUUGGGCUGCCAGCACAUGACCCAACACCAUCUAUGUUAAACAACCUAAUAUGGGCAGAGGAACGUCUUUAAGUACCUUCUCUGCAAAUCACUUCUCUACCAGGGGACUCUUCUCAACUUCUGCCCGCAUUGGCUUUCACUGCAGAAGUGGAUUUCUGAAACUUUCAUUAGCUCGACAUUGUUUUUUUUUUUUUUUUUUUUCCGGUACCGGGAAUCAAACUCAUGACCUUGCGCUUGCCGGGCAGGCGCUGUACCGCUGAGCUAAAUCCCCAGCCCCUCGGCAUUGCUUUGUAUGUGCGGCUUUUGUGGCUGAUAAGUACUGUACCUACCUUGGGUGGAAGAGACCUUCCUUACUGAAAAUGCAAGGAUUUGUUGCUGCUGAUCAACACCACAAAGGCGCCACUAAGGGGAACCCCUGAAGACUGUAGGAAGCAUCAGAAUGUGGGAAGCCAAAGGAGCUGGUGAACACUAUCCAAGUGAAAGGAGGCUCGACCAACCCCCUCAUAGACCCUGUGUUUUUCAGCAUAAAGAGCUUUCUACAAACUUCCCCAGGGCUGAGUCUCCAGCUCCUCUGCAAAACCCAACUGUAGCCGGAAUCACAUCUGCUUGCCCAGGCACACCAGCUUUGGCAGCUGGAGUUGCACCUCAGCAGGACUGUGUACUUCGCACACGUAAGGCCCCAGGUUCCAUGCCCAACACCAAAAAACCCAGGAAACUGCUUCUCCGACCUCCAUAUAAAGAUGGGGUGAGACCUCUGGAGUUCCUCAAA